AGGGCUGGAUGAGGGACAGCAGCCAAUAGUGAUGGGAAUUCCAGCUCUUUUUAGUGAUCCGGAAUCAGCAAUGACAGCUGCUCCUUUGGCUCUCAAGUGGCUCUUCAUUUCUGGCUUUUAUAAUUCAGCCACAUUUUGUAAUAUUUUGACCUAUGAUUGGUAUGUGGACAAAUAUAUAAUUUAAAUAAGUCAACAUAAUCAUACUAAACCUAAAAGUUUACAUUGUGUGGUAUAAAAACCUUAAAUAAUGUAAAAGCAUCAAUCAUGAUUACACAUGUAGCCUACAUUUUAUUUAUAUAUUAUAUUAUAACUCUUUUGUAUGUUGGUGACUGUGCAACAGGCUGUUACUAGCACUUAAGUGAGACGUUUCUGGAUUGUAUUUAAUACGCAGGGCAGCUGCUGGCCUAUCUUAAUGUUUAUUUGACUAAAAACUAUGCAUUUUCACAUAAGUUUAGACUAUUAUCAUUACAGUAUUUAUUUAAAAACCCACACAGAUUGUAGUUUUCUACAUAACACUCAGACAUUAGCAAGAAAUAUGUAUUAGAAUGUAUUUAUACACUGAUCAGCCGUAACACUGUAAGCACUGACAGGUGAAGUGAAUAACACUGAUUAUCUGGUUAUCAUGGCUCCAACAGACGAGCUACUGUAGCUCAAACUGCUGAAACAGUUAAUGCUGGUUCUGAUAGAAAGGGGUCAGAACACACAGUGCAGAGCAGUCUGUUGGUAUGGUGUGAAGGUAUUAGUCCUUCCUCUUGUCCUGUCAUAUUUGUUGCAAAUUAAUAUAACAGACUAAAUACAGCUUUUCUUUUAGCUUGUUCCUAAGUCAUUAUUAGUUUAACAAGUGCAUUGUGGUUGUAACAACAACUACAAACAAAGCAGGUGGAGAUAUUCUUUUUCUGCUUUGUACCUGAGUUGUCAUCAACAUCACAGCCUGUCUGCUGUGUGUGUGUGUGUGUGUGUGUGUGUGUGUGUGUGUGUGUGUGUGUGUGUGUGUGUGUGUGUGUGUGUGUGGUGUGUGUGUGUGUGUGUGUUUGUGUGUGUCCUGCUCUCUGUGCUGCGGAGGAGAGAAACAGAGAAGCGGACCCAUAAAUGACAGCAAAACAUGAGAGAAGAGAGAGAAGAGGAGGAGAGAAUGGAAGUCCUCCAAAGAGGCUGAUGAGCAGUAACUGAGCGGCUUCUAGAAGAGAUGAGCCUGGAGGACCACAGGGAGUUCAUCACCCAUCAGGAUGCUUCAGCGCAGGCAUGGUGCCCCACCUUUUGCUGGAGUGCCAGGAGUCCUUGUAGGGGCAUGUCUACAGACCGGGAGAGGAAAUGCGGUGGCCAGGAACCUGCUGACUGUGUGAGCCUACUACUACCCAGGUUUCAUACGGAUUCACAGGCAGCAACGGGACCACAUUACGGUAUAAGGCCACAUUAGGGAGCCUGGGGAACAGGGAGCACUGUUCUGGUGCCUAUAGAAACUUUAUUGGCACUUUAGGUUAUCAUGGCUCUUUAGGACAGGGAAAUUAACUUGUCAUCCUCAGCUGGUGGGACAAGUUCCAUGAUCCCCAAAGACACUACACCGAUUUCCUUCCAGGCCCUCUGGCAUGGGCAUCAUCAAACACAUUUUUUCUUAUACUUUAUUUAAAUAACAAUGACCCUUUUCUUAGUUUAUAUUCAUGAUUUACUAUGUAUAUGUAUACCUAACCAACAGAAAUAAUACCACAAAAACAAGACUACUGGUCCCAUCAGAAAAUUAAGAAACCCUGGGUGGUCAUGAUGUGCAUAUGCUACAGGUGGUAUUUUAUGUUCUAACAUAAGUGAGAGAUCUAACAAAUCCCCACAGGGUGGCAAUACUCACAAUGAGACCAACACAGUUAAAAAGCAGUAAGUGGUGCCCCUUAAGCAGUUGAGAGACAUUCUGCUUUCUCCUGGCAGGUGAAGCAAAGAUGGAGUACGCAUUUAUUUUCAGAAACCUUUUCAGGCAAACUGCAGAGACCGUAAAUCAAUCAGCAAUGGAGCAAAGUGAUUUUUGAGAAGAACCGCCAGUCCAUAUUAAAAUCCUGCUGUUGCAUUAAAAACUUGUCAAUAAGAAGGCUGCCCUAAAACCCCCACCUAGCAGUCAAUAUUGAAAAUUGAUCCAGACACUGAACCGUCGUAUAAAUCAACACAUAACCUAGCUUAUUGAUUGACACCGUUAAACAAACAGGCAACAUUUACAGUUGCAAACAGGAUUUUAUUACCCACUAAUAUCAGUGAAAACACAAUCAUUUAUCUUCCUUUCUUUACACAAUAUUAAAACAAAGGCAAAUGAGCAAUUCAGAAACACCAGAACAUCAAAACUGUGACGCUGCAGCCACAGCUAGAAAGAACUGCAGACAGUCACGUCUGACGAUACAGAUUGUUCUGAUUCCCCUGUAGAGCCACACUGGCCAACUCAAAUGUGUGUUGUUUAUGCAGCAAAAGGUUAAUAUCUCGAUGAGGGCGCUCUGAUUGAACUGCAAGGAUCUGCCCUUGAAUCACCCACCUGCUGAGUCCAGAGGCACAUGGUGCAAGACUCUUCUUGUGCUAUUUUCUCAAAUUUGUAGGCAGCCGUACAACAAAAAACAAAUAACCCCCUUCAUCACUAUCAAAUCUAUGCAAUGGAGACUUAAAUAACACAGGAGCACAGGUGCAUCUUGGUUAGAUAAUAGGUACCGCACUCCAGAAAACCAUCAACAAUUUGCAUAUAACCAUCACCUUUUUACCAAGGAGAAAGGUAGAGACACUGCAUAAAAGAAUACGUGUGGGGUUUACAGUACACCAAGACCAGAAUCAGGUUUAUUGCCAAGCAGGUUUUCACAUGCAAGCAGUGUGCCUUGGUGUAUUGGUGCAGAACAGUAAACAUUGUACAAGAACAAUAUAAAUAAAGACAAUAAAAAGAGACAGUAUUAGGGAAAGUCCAAACUAUGAAGUAUAAAGGAUAUUUGCAAUGUGCUAGAUACAAGAGAUGUGUGUAUGUAAUGCAUAGAUUCAAGGGAGCACUUAACUACAUCACUAUGAAACUGUGCAUCAUAUCUAAAUAUUGACUACAUGCCAAAAUGCCAAAAUAAAAGGUACUAUGUGG